rnacentral:rRNA from 1 species
UACGUAGGGGGCGAGCGUUGUCCGGAAUUACUGGGCGUAAAGGGCACGCAGGCUGUGCUUCAAGUCAGCUGUAAAAGGAUGCGGCUUAACCGUGUUAUGCAGUUGAGACUGAGGUGCUGGAGUACUGGAGAGGCAAGUGGAAUUCCCAGUGUAGCGGUGAAAUGCGUAGAUAUUGGGAAGAACAUCGGUGGCGAAGGCGACUUGCUGGACGGUAACUGACGCUGAGGUGCGAAAGCCAGGGUAGCGAACGGG